rnacentral:rRNA from 1 species
GACAGAGGUUGCAAACGUUGUUCGGAAUCACUGGGCAUAAAGCGCACGUAGGCGGUCUGUUAAGUCAGGUGUGAAAGCCCCCGGCUCAACCGGGGAACAGCAUCUGAUACUGGCAGACUCGAGGAUGGUAGGGGUGAGUGGAACUCCAGGUGGAGCGGUGAAAUGCGUAGAUAUCUGGAGGAACACCGAGGCGGAGAGGCGUCCUGGCCGAACUGACGCUGAGGCUGCGAAAGCGUGGGUAGCAAACGG